rnacentral:tRNA from 1 species
UCUUUGGUGGCUUAGUUGGUAAAGAAUCUGCCUGCAGUGCAGGAGGCCUGGGUUCGAACCCUGGUUUGGGAA